rnacentral:rRNA from 1 species
UAGUCCACGCAGUAAACGAUGAGUGCUAGAUGUUAGAACAUUGUGUUUUAGUAUCGAAGCUAACGCGCUAAGCACUCCGCCUGGGAACUACGAUCGCAAGGUUAAAACUCAAAGGAAUUGACGGGGACCCGCACAAGCGGUGGAACAUGUGGUUUAAUUCGAUGCUACGCGAAAAACCUUACCAAGUCUUGACAUGAUAGUCGUAUAGCUAGGAAACUAGCUAGUCAGUUCGGCUGGACUAUCACAGGUGUUGCAUGGCUGUCGUCAGCUCGUGUCGUGAGAUGUUGGGUUAAGUCCCGCAACGAGCGCAACCCUUAUCUUUAAUUGCCAACAGGUAAUGCUGGGAACUUUAAAGAAACUGCCAAUGGAGAAUUGGAGGAAGGUGAGGAUGACGUCAAGUCAGCAUGGCCCUUAUGACUUGGGCUACACACGUGUUACAAUGGUAGUGACAAUGUGAUGCAAUAGGGCGACCUGGAGCAAAUCUUUAAAAACUACCUCGGUUCGG